GGCGAGACCGCGUACGGCUCAUUAAAUCAGUCGUGGUCCAAAUGGGCCAGUGCUUAUCCUACUUGGAUAACUGUGGUAAUUCCAGAGCUAAUAUAUGCAACUCAUACCCCGAAGGCCGCGCUCUUGCAGUGUGCGCUGGACGGGUGCUUUUAUUAGACCAAACCGCUGAGGGUGUGUUAGCCUCUCGGGGCGCACGCUUGACUCGCAUGAUGGUGACUCUGGAUAACCUUUGACAAGCGCACGUACCACUCUUUUGAGCGGACGGCGCUGCCACUUUCGAGUGUCUGCCUUAUCAGCUAUCAACCGUUCGUUACGUGCGACCGAUGGCUUUGACGGGUAACGGGGAAUCAGGGUUCGAUUCCGGAGAGGCAGCCUGAGAGACGGCUACCACGUCCAAGGACGGCAGCAGGCGCGCAAAUUACCCAAUCCCAGCUUCUGGGGGAGGUAGUGACGAAAUCUAACGAUGCGGGCGCCCUUUCUAGGGCCCCGCAAUCGGAAUGAGCACUUUCUAAACAACCUGUUGAGAACCUACUGAAGGGCAAGUCUGGUGCCAGCAGCCGCGGUAAUUCCAGCUUCAGCAGCAUCUAUUAAAGUUGCUGCGGUUAAAAGGCUCGCAGUUGAAUGUCAGUGCCGGGCGCAGGUUAGGUGGACGCUGGGGUGUGAGAACCAACACGGCACGGACUUCGUCUGGUUGCUUGUCAGCUUGCUGGCCUUCCAGGCGGAGCAUCGACCGUGUCUCACAAACUCCCGUCCGUGACAAGCCUCCUCGCCCGCGUACAUAUCGGAAUUGGUUUCGGAGGCGUGCGACCGGCGGCUUCUCUCACGUCUGUGCUGGCUCACGCUGGCCUGACUGGGGAGUUGCUUAGCCACGUGCGUUCUCUUUGUGGUUUCAGAGUCACCUUGAGUAAAUCAGAGUGCUCAAAGCAGUCGUAGGGGCCUUGCGCCCUGUGAAAAGUCUUGACGGACUGACUGGUUAUGCAUGGCAUGUCGGAAGACGACGUCGCGUGCUGGCUCAGAGAUUUAUCAGUGGUAUAAGCCAGCCGCGACGUACUGAUUAAAAGGGACGGUCGAGGGCAUUGGUAUUGCGAGGCGAGAGGUGAAAUUCUAUGACCCCCGCAAGACCUCCUGAAGCGAACGCGUCUGCCAAGGA
rnacentral:rRNA from 1 species